UACGUAGGGGGCAAGCGUUGUCCGGAUUUAUUGGGCGUAAAGAGCGUGUAGGCGGCCAGGUAGGUCUGCUGUGAAAACUCGAGGCUCAACCUCGAGAUGUCGGCGGAAACCAUCUGGCUAGAGUCCGGAAGAGGAGAAUGGAAUUCCCGGUGUAGCGGUGAAAUGCGCAGAUAUCGGGAAGAACACCCGUGGCGAAGGCGGUUCUCUGGGCCUUACCUGACGCUGAGGAGCGAAAGCGUGGGGAGCGAACAGG
rnacentral:rRNA from 1 species